UCAGCAAAGGAGAAGCAGAGCCAGCGUCCGAACACUGCGAGCUGCAGCUCCGCGGAGCUCAGUGAAGCCAAGGAGAGGAGGGUCAGAGGAAAUACACGGGAGUUUCUCCCCACACUGCUGUUUGACCGAGGAGCUGCUGCCGCAUGAUGCCGCUGCUGCUCCACACUGUGGGGGGACACCGCCCUCUAGCGGGAGAUAGCGAUGUUACAGAUACUCGG